rnacentral:lncRNA from 1 species
UGUCUCAUUGACGAGGCCCUGCUGAAACGAAGGUCAAAUACUUAAUCUAAACCCCUAACAAACCCUAUCUUUCAUAACCUUAAGAUCAGCAAUGCCACAUAUUCAGACAGCGGACAGUAUGUUUGUGCCUUACAGGUGCUUAACAAUAGAAAAGGGCACUGGAAGGUAAUAACUAAUGUCACAGUCACUGUGAAUGGAGAAUUCAACAACCACCCCAACAGGAAUGACACAGCCCUGUUAUAUACUCCUGCCAUUGUCAUUGUCAUGAUGAAAAAUACCAAGAUUUCGCAAGGUGAGUAAAAACCCACAUAUUGUAUGUGCUAUCAUCAGGUAUGUAUUUUUUUUUUAAAUCAUGUAAUGUUAUUGACAUGGGCGUUCUUGGUACUUAAUCCAAUUGAUAUAUGGCAAUGAUUAUCAAUAGGCGAUAGUGUAUACUAAACAUGAUUAAUCAAAUCAAAAUUUGUCGUAAAUAGACAUAACUGAAUGGACCAGACGGUGCUUGAGGUAUCAAGAGAGUAGGAUAUAGCACUUUCUGGGGCCCUCCCUACCCUCAGUUGUAGGUCAAAAGCCCUUAAAUUUAUUUUUUUCUCUGUUUUUUAUCUAAAAUAUGAACAGGAGUCAGUUACAGCUGGUCUCAGAUCUGUGCUUGGGGUUGUAACAUAGACCGAUGCUCCUCCCCUGUCUGUCUCCUCCCGGUGUAAACAUUGCCGUUGUGUCCAUAGCAAAAACGAUAGCAAAGCCUUGGAUAUAAUGCUGCUAGCUAAAUACGAAAGUUAUCACUGCUGUAUGCCAGCAGGGUUUACGUUGUGGAGUUCUUCUCCAGUAAAUUAGUGAAUUAACGGUCUGCAGCUAGGCGGCUAGGCGUUCGCAAAGUUCUGCGAAUGGAAUGCUUGCUAGUUAGCUAAAGCUAGCUAGGUUGUUUGACGACGUAAAAGUUGCUUGCUAGCAGCUAACUACAAUGCUAGCUGGCUACUAGUAACUUGCUCGCGAGGAGGACAACCAGAGCCCGCCAGCACAGCACAGCAGCUGUGUUGACACGAAACGAAAGGAGAUACCAAGCAAGCUAUCCCGGCCUGAUCCAUAUGGGGAAAUCUAUCUAAAAAUGUUUACUGUAUUGUUGACUACUUCACAUUUUCAGCAGUUUAUUUUUUUAGCUGUUGUUAUUGUGCUAGCCAAGGUACAAGUUAGUUAACGUUUGACAUUCUUUUCUCACUGUAAUCUUGGAAGUAUCCAUUAAUCAUCUUUAGUUAUUGGACUCAAGCUAUGAAUAAUGUUUUCUGUGAAGCCCUUGAAACUAACCUUUAAAUCCUACCACCUUACUUGACUAGCAAAGUUGCCCUGUCCUCGGUAUACUAACAGUUACUUGCUAUUACUGAGUAGUUAGCUAGCUAGGAUUACGUGUUCAAUUCACUAGCUAUAUGUUGUGCAUAAUUUAGUUAGUUUGUUGGUCUAUAAUAAG